AAGGAAAAAGGAAAAUCGAGGUGACCCUGCUUAUGUGCGAGCAGCUUGUGAAGGUAGCUUGAAACGUCUUAGUGUUGAAUGUAUUGAUCUU